UUGUAUGGGCUCUGGCUAUCUCAUCUCAUGGUUGAUUUGGUUUUGAUGCUAUUUCUGGGGUUUUUGACAGCAAGGUGCACUGUCCGUUCCUUUGGGAUUAAAGCUCUUGAGAAGAAACUUCGGGGAUGCUGGUUAAAAAUUCAGAUUUGGAGCAAUUUGGAUCAUCAGAAUGCAGGCAAGAAGGUUCUCAAGAGCAAUUUGGAUAAGCUCUCCAAUUCAAUGAAAGAUUUGGUGACAUAUAUGCCAAGCAAGCAAGCAAGGAGGUCAGAGGUACAGAAAUUUUGUAUAAAGACCUUCGAAAUCUUGACUAAACUCAACCUCACCAAAUCUUUUAUUAAAGCUCUGGGGCCUGAUGUUCAAGCUGCUCUUGAGGCACAACUUGUUUACUUUCCGAGUUUGGUGUUUCUUGGAUUUGAAUUGGGUUACUCCAUGGACAGUUUGGUGAUUUUGCUAAUGGGGCUAAUGUGAUAUUUGACCAUUUCUUGUCUUCUGGUGAGGCUAAGUGGCUCUGUCAGACUGGGCUUGUCUUGUUACUUCCUCAUGGUUAUGAUGGCCAAGGCCCUGAGCAUCCGAGUGCCAGAUUGGAACGCUUCCUUCAGAUCGCUGAUGACAAUCCUUAUGUUAUUCCUGAGAUGGAUCCAACUCUUCGGAAACAGAUUCAGGAGUGCAAUUUGCAGAUUGUGAACUCACAACUCCUGCUAACUUCUUCCAUGUUUUGUGGAGACAGAUACAUAGAGAAUUCCGCAAACCUCUCAUUGUAAUGUCCCCUAAGAACCUGCUUGUAGUAAGGCUUGCCGAUCAAAUUUGUCCGAGUUUGAUGAUGUCCAAGGACACCCAGGUUUUGAGAAGCAAGGAACCAGAUUUAAGCGCCUCAUAAAGGACCAAAAUGACCACUCAGACCUUGAGGAGGGUAUUAGACGUCUAGUACCUUGUUCUGGAAAGGUUUACUAUGAACUUGAUGAGCACAGAACAAAGGUUGAGGCAAAGGAUGUUGCAAUAUGUAGGGUGGAACAGCUUUGUCCUUUCCCUUAUGACCUUGUCCAAAGAGAGCUUAAAUGGUACCCUAAUGCCGAGGUUGUUUGGUGUCAAGAAGAAUCGAUGAACAUGGGUGGAUACACUUAUCUUCUUCCCCGGCUUAUUUCUUCCGAUGAAUUAUAUUGUGAUCUAUGUACAAAAUGGCAUAUUAUUCAAACUAUAGUCAUUCUCCUGGAUCCCUUGAUUGAGAACAAUUACGAAUUAUUCAUGGUGGAGAGGCUUAUCAUGAUGGGUGCGAAAACCUGUUAUCAGAACAUUCAAAGAUGACACUGAUCAUAGCCUCACUGAUGGUCCCAAAAAAGAACACAAAAGUUUGGCAUAGACCUGUCUACACAGCGGAUGAACAUGCAUAGUACACUAUAAUUUCUUUGUAAUCCACAUUAAGUAGAAACUCUUGCAUGAUCCCAAAUCUUUGGGAAGAAAUGCUAAGGGACUAAGGGGAAAUGUGAGCCUUAGUUCAUGUUGUAAAUGUUGAGGUUAGUCUAAAAUUAGAUUCAUAUUUCAUACAAAUAAAUCCUAAUCAGUGAAUGAGCCAUUUAUGGAAUAUUUGGUUUUCUUUGUUAGAAAGCUUCAAAUCAUAAUUUGGUAAAUUCUCAUCUUCUAUAACUCUUAUCCAGAACAUGUUAUUUGCAUAUUUAAAAUAGAAAUCUUGAAGACAUAUUAAGAGAAAGAAACAAAUUAAAGCAUUUCUGUCCGUUAUUCCAAUCAAGUAUCUUUUUUUAAUUUUCUUUUUGUAAUUUGUUGGAUGUCCAAUUUUGCAGAGUUAUGUUUGGUGUAUUUAUUUUAUGCAAGAUAACUGAGUUGAUUUAUUUAAUGUUUAUCAUUUAACUGAAUUUUAAUGAGAUCUAGUAUGUUAUCCAAUAAUGGAUGAAUUAUUACAAUGUUAUAUGCAAAUUUAGUAGAAUAAUCAGCUUUCAUUCUUGAAUUUCCAAAGAGCAUCUGUCUAAUUUGUGAAAGUCCAAGAUUCAGUUACUAAUUCACUUAAAGGAUCAGGUUUAAUUUCUGGAAGAAAGAAGAAAGAAACACAUGGCUGCAAAGUUUCUUCGGAUGAAUGAGUUAAAGGAUCAGGUUUGCUCAUCUUGGUUGGCUCCAGUUGGAUCUGCAAGUGAUUAUCCACUUUUGUCAAAGUGGGUUAUUUAUAUAUAUGAUUUGUGCAAUCUUCUAUGUUAAAUCAUAUAUAUAUUUUGAUUGUAUUACUUUACUCAUUAUAGUCAUAGUUGUUUUUGUGUUUUAGAUAGCUUCUUGCAAUGGUUCAUCAAAUGAAAUUUCUCCCCUCGAAUGUUAAAUCAUAUUCACUCUCAAGAGUCAAGCCUUCACCUUUUACGCCGCGUUUCAACCGCUUCGGAUUCAUUUUGCAUUGCUGCUUCUCCUUAUUCUGCAUUUACUCAAUUCUUCAUAUGAACCUUUUCAUUUGGAUUUAAUUCUCCACUCUUGCUUUAGCUCAAUUUGAAUCUCUUUUCUUAUUGCUUCGGUUUUUUUUAAACUUGCUUCUGCUUUUGUUUCUUCCACUUUUCAGUUUCCCCCCAUUUUGGGUUUCUCAAUUUUGAUUCUGUUUUAGGGUUUUAGUGUUUUAAAAUUUUCGCCUUUAUAUUUGUUCAAUUGGUUCUUUUUGUUUCUAGGGUUUCGUUUAAUGUCAUAUUUCUUUUUUGUACCGCAGGUUGGUUGGCAGGGGAGCUAUGAAUAGCGUCUUCAGUAUCUACAUAUAGAUCCAACAUUUUUUCAUCUAGCUCUGAUCAUUUCUUUUAAAACCCUUUAUCAUACUUCACUGCAGGGUCUUGAUGUUUACAACUCAAAGCAAGUCCGAGAUAAACAAAUAGCUCGGAUUAUCCGAAAGAUAACAACAAUUGCUGCAGCAAUUUAUCUCAGAAUGGCGGGAUGGCCACCUGUGCUUCCAUCCAAUCAACUUUCUUACACAGAGAACUUCCUAUACAUGCUUGAUUCUCUGUAUGUCUAACUGUUCUUUUUGUCAAGUGAUUUGGAACUGCUUUAUUUUCGGUUUAUUUUCCUUUGUGAUCUCAUUAUUUAAAUAGGAUUGUCAUUUAUUAGUCAAAUGAAGAUCCUUAUCUAGCCUGUGCAGCACCUGAGGUUGCCAUGUUGUUGGUGCCCUUUCUCACGAUUCCAUCUACUAUUGUUUGUGCUGCCUCAUAUUGUAAUUGUUGCACUUAAAAUUACUGUUAAGUUUCUACAAAUCCAGAGGAAGAAGAGGAUCCUCAAGCAGAGGUUGAAGGUUCCACCAGCUUUGAACCAGUUCACCAAGACCCUUGACAAGAAUCUAGCAUCCAGCCAUUUCAAGAAUCAUUAGAACACCCACAUCAAGAAAAGCCUCAAGAAAUUGGGAAUUGAUCCUGCACACACGCCACUCUCUAAUAACACCACUGACCAAAAUCAAAUCAAACCAGAACAACCACCACUUCAAGAGCAAGAGCAAGAACAAGAUCAUCAUGAGUCUUUUAUUCUUGUUCAACCUGAAAUUAAGGAGGCAGAGAAGCCUGAGGUAGAGGAUCAAUUCAUGACCCCACUGUACCACUUACUUAAUUAAAUAAGAAUUAAAUAAGGACUAUGAUGAUGAUGGGGAUAAAGAUGACACUAGGACUAUAGCUGAUAAAUUUAGUAUAGUUGAAUAAUACAUUGAGUUCAUGUUUUGAAUUAUAGUUGAUGUAUCAAUACAUUUUGUUGAUGUAUGGUUGUUACUUUGUUUUGCUCAAA